rnacentral:lncRNA from 1 species
GCAGUCUUCAUUUUUGUCUGGUGAGGAUGGAGCACCACCACACUGAGGUCUGCGUUGCCCUGACGACCAGUUGAGCUGAACGAGGAACAAUGAGCCACAGAGGAAAGCUCCUAUGGUGAUACUUUUUUCCAGCCAGCGGAAGUGGAUGAGAAACUGAGGCUGAAUCUACAGUCUGAGCUCACGGGUGUGGAGCGCAGAUAAUGCAUCUUGAGAUCACUACGAUCUUUGUGCCAUCUGGGAGCGUGGAGGAGGUGGUGCUGAGCUGUGGAAUACAGGCAACCCGCUGAAAGAAGAGUCAUGAGUCCUAGGAACAUCACAUCAGUCAAGGGAGUGGAAGGUGGGGUCAGUGCUGCGGUGGCGUCUAUCCAAAGGGAGAGAUGAAGAGAGGAGGAUAAAGGCAAUAAGCAGAAAGUAUAACAUAAGAUGUCCCAAGUGAAAGCAUCUACAUAUGUGCGGGCAAAACAUCACUCAUCGGGAGCAAGAGAGAAAGUACUGUUUGGGUAUGGUGAUUUGAAUGGGAACUGUCCCCAUGGGCUCUCAUGCUUGAACACAUAGUCUGCAGUUGGUGACACUGUCUGGGGAGGUUAUGGAGUCUUUAGGAAAUGCAGUCUUGAAGGGAGACACACACUGGGGACAGGUUUUGAGAGUGCACAGUCUCACCUUACUUACAGUUACUCCCUCUGCUUUCUGCAUGCGGAUGGAGAUGUGGUCUUUCCACCUACCGCUCUGACCUCUUACUGCCUUAUCUCCUCCACUGUUAUGGAUCCUCUCUCUGAAAAUGUAAGCUCCAAAUAAACUCUUUCCUCCAUAA